UUGCAUUUGCAUAGCCUCAAGGAUCAUGAGCGUCUUGGUUCCCUUUGCCUUUGGGUGGGACUCCUUGUGAUUGGUUUGAGAUCACCAAGCAUGCUUGAAUUAUACAUCAUUGUUUCUCUUACUUUAGUUUACUAAAAAAAAAAUGAAAAAAAGAUUUAAAAUAAAUAAAUAAAUAAAUAAAAUAUAACAAAAAUAUUUUUUGGACUUGGGCCU
rnacentral:lncRNA from 1 species